rnacentral:rRNA from 1 species
GAGUUUGAUCCUGGCUCAGAUUGAACGCUGGCGGCAUGCCUUACACAUGCAAGUCGAACGGCAGCACGGGAGCUUGCUCCUGGUGGCGAGUGGCGAACGGGUGAGUAAUGCAUCGGAACGUAUCCUGGAGUGGGGGAUAACGUAGCGAAAGUUACGCUAAUACCGCAUAUUCUGUGAGCAGGAAAGCGGGGGACCUUCGGGCCUCGCGCUCUUGGAGCGGCCGAUGUCGGAUUAGCUAGUUGGUGAGGUAAAGGCUCACCAAGGCGACGAUCCGUAGCAGGUCUGAGAGGAUGAUCUGCCACACUGGAACUGAGACACGGUCCAGACUCCUACGGGAGGCAGCAGUGGGAAUUUUGGACAAUGGGGCAACCCUGAUCCAGCCAUGCCGCGUGAGUGAAGAAGGCCUCGG